rnacentral:rRNA from 1 species
UACGUAGGGACCAAGCGUUGUUCGGAAUUACUGGGCGUAAAGCGUGCGCAGGCGGUUUGGUAAGACAGAUGUGAAAUCCCCGGGCUUAACCUGGGAAUUGCGCUUGAAACUAGGUCGCUAGAGUGUGGCAGAGGGGGGUGGAAUUCCACGUGUAGCAGUGAAAUGCGUAGAGAUGUGGAGGAACACCGAUGGCGAAGGCAGCCCCCUGGGUCAACACUGGACGCUCAUGCACGAAAGCGUGGGGAGCAAACAGG